ACAUGCCUACAACAUAGUGUUAAUGCAUCAGAUCCCAUUAGAACUUUGUAGUUAAGAACACUUAGGAUAGAUUAGUAUUGGGAUGGGUGAUUUAUCAGGAAGCCCUAGUGUUUUACAUGCC
rnacentral:rRNA from 1 species